GUCUGCCGAAGGAGACCUAUGGACCGGGCCCAGGGAGAGAGUCAGGUGCUGGGCUGAGAUGGAGGAAGAGCAGGAGGAGCUGGAACUUUCCCGUUUGGCUCUGUCAGCCAAGUGCAGCUUUCAAGUUCUCUACGGACUGCUGUAUUUUCUCAUGAAUUCCAAAUACUACAACUCCCUGUGUGACAGCUGGAGAAUCACUGCACCUUUCUGGGCCCCAUUGAGUGACAGAAGAUCGGAAUGGAUAGUCACAUGCCUGCCCCAGCGUGGAAGGAGAAGAGCCUAUACUUCCAUCCAUUUUGGCCUCUUCCAAGUUCCCCUCAUUUUUCUCUCUAAGAUC